GACGAACGCUGGCGGCGUGCUUAACACAUGCAAGUCGAACGAAGUGGCGAACGGGUGAGUAACGCGUAAUCAACCUGCCCUUCAGAGGGGGACACCAGUUGGAAACGACUCCUAAUACCACAUACUGAUGGAGGGGAUUGCGUCUGAUUAGCUUGUUGGAGGGGUAACGGCCCACCAGGGCGAGGAGCAGUAGCCGGUCUGAGAGGAUGAACGGCCAAAUUGGGACUGAGACACGGCCCAGACUCCUACGGGAGGCAGCAGGGGGGAAUCUUCCGCAAUGGACGAAAGUCUGACGGAGCAACGCCGCGGGAGUGAUGACGGCCUUCGGGUUGUAAAGCGCUGUUAAGCGGGACGCGGUACCGGAAGAGAAAGCCACGGCUAACUACGGGCCAGCAGCCGCGGUAAUAC
rnacentral:rRNA from 1 species